rnacentral:rRNA from 1 species
ACUGAUUGAUCCUGUCAGCAGUAUUUGCUUGUUCAGAAGACUAAGCCAUGCAUGUAUAAGUUCACACCUUAAUACGGUGAAACCGCGAAUGGCUCAUUAAAUUAGCUAUUAUUUAUUAGAUCUUACAAGAUUACUUGGAUAACUGUAGUAAUUCUAGAGCUAAUACAUGAAUAUGUGCUUUGGUUUAUGCCGAAUGCGAAUUUAUUAGAUCAAAACCAACCGGUUUCGGCCGUUAAAUUGGUGACUCUGGAUAACUAUUCUGAUCGCAUGACCUUGUGUCGGCGACGUAUCUUUCAAGUGUCUGCCCUAUUAACUUAAGUUGGUGAGUUAGUUGCUCACCAUGGUUAUAACGGGUAACGGAGAAUUAGUGUUCGAUACCGGAGAGGGAGCCUUAGAAACGGCUACCACAUCUAAGGAAGGCAGCAGGCGCGCAAAUUACCUAUUUUUAGAAUGAGGAGGUAGUGAAUUUAAAUAGCGAUGAUGAACUCUUAUGAGGCUCGUCAAUCGAAAUGAGUACAAUUUAAAUCCUUUAACGAGUACCAAUUGGAGGGCAAGUCUGGUGCCAGCAGCCGCGGUAAUUCCAGCUCCAAUAGCGAAUAUUAAAUUUGUUGCAGUUAAAAAGCUCGUAGUUGGAUCCAAGGUUAGGCAUGCCUGUCUGUUCUUAGUAGCAUGACUGUGUGUGUCUGCCUUUAUUAGUUGAAUGUUCAUUAUGGUGGUCUUUAUUGACUGCUAUGAUGUGCUCAACACGUUUACCUUGAAAAAAUCAGAGCGAUCAAGGCAGGCCUUUGUGCUUGUAUGUUGUUGCAAGGAAUAAUAGAAUAGGACUUCGGUUCUAUUUUGUUGGUUUUGAGAAUUGAAGUAAUGAACAAUAGAGACAGUCGGGGGCAUUUGUAUGGUGGCGUUAGAGGUGAAAUUUUGAGAUCGUCGCCAGACAAAUUAUUGCGAAAGCAUUUGCCAAGGAUGUCUUCAUUAAUCAAGAAUGAAAGUCAGAGGUUCGAAGACGAUUAGAUACCGUCCUAGUUCUGACCAUAAACGAUGCCGACCUACAAUCGGGGGUGGUUUAUUAUAUUGACCCUCCCGGCUGUCCUCAGGAAAUUUUAAGUUGGUUCUGGGGGGAAUAUGGUCUCAAGACUGAAACUUAAAGGAAUUGACGGAAGGGCACCACCAGGAGUGGAGCCUGCGGCUUAAUUUGAUUUAAUACGGGGAAUUUUACCCGGUCCGGACAUUGGUAGGAUGGACAGAUUGAUAGCUCUUUCUUGAUUCAGUGGGUGGUGGUGCAUGGCCGUUCUUAGUUGGUGGAGUGAUUUGUUUGGUUAAUUUUGAUAAUGAACGAGACUCUGUCCUGCUAAAUAGUCCAGUGGC